GUCUUUUUGAGUAUAAUUUAAAGUCUAGCCUGCCCAUUGAUUAUUUAAAAGGCCGCAGUAUUUUGACUGUGCAAAGGUAGCAUAAUCAUUAGUUUUUUAAUUAAAAGCUUGUAUGAAUGGUUGGACGAGAUAAAUUCUGUCUCUUUAUAAAAUUAAUGAAUUUAAUUUUUAAGUUAAAAAGCUUAAAUAUUUUUAAAAGACGAGAAGACCCUAUAGAUCUUUAUAAUAAAAUUGAUUAUUUAGAUUAAGAUUAAUUAAUUAAUAAUGAUUUUUAUUAUUUUAUUGGGGUAAUAAAAAGAUUAAUUGAAUUCUUUUUUAUAUUUACAUAAAUUAAUGAUAAAUAGAUCCAUUAUUAAUGAUAAAAGAUUAAGUUACCUUAGGGAUAACAGCGUAAUUUUUUUAGAGAGUUCAUAUCGAUAAAAAAGUUUGCGACCUCGAUGUUGGAUUAAAAGUAAUUCUAGGUGAAGAAGUUUAGAGUUUUGGUCUGUUCGACCAUUAAAUUUUU
rnacentral:rRNA from 1 species